rnacentral:rRNA from 1 species
UGCAAGUCGAGCGAAUUGAUGGGAGCUUGCUCCCUGAUAUUAGCGGCGGACGGGUGAGUAACACGUGGGUAACCUGCCUGUAAGAUUGGGAUAACUCCGGGAAACCGGAGCUAAUACCGGAUAACAUUUUGAACCGCAUGGUUCGAAAUUGAAAGAUGGUUUCGGCUAUCACUUACAGAUGGACCCGCGGCGCAUUAGCUAGUUGGUGAGGUAACGGCUCACCAAGGCAACGAUGCGUAGCCGACCUGAGAGGGUGAUCGGCCACACUGGGACUGAGACACGGCCCAGACUCCUACGGGAGGCAGCAGUAGGGAAUCUUCCGCAAUGGACGAAAGUCUGACGGAGCAACGCCGCGUGAACGAUGAAGGCCUUCGGGUCGUAAAGUUCUGUUGUUAGGGAAGAACAAGUACCAGAGUAACUGCUGGUACCUUGACGGUACCUAACCAGAAAGCCACGGCUAACUACGUGCCAGCAGCCGCGGUAAUACGUAGGUGGCAAGCGUUGUCCGGAAUUAUUGGGCGUAAAGCGCGCGCAGGUGGUUUCUUAAGUCUGAUGUGAAAGCCCACGGCUCAACCGUGGAGGGUCAUUGGAAACUGGGGAACUUGAGUGCAGAAGAGGAAAGUGGAAUUCCAAGUGUAGCGGUGAAAUGCGUAGAGAUUUGGAGGAACACCAGUGGCGAAGGGACUUUCUGG